GACAGAGGGUGCAAACGUUGUUCGGAAUUACUGGGCGUAAAGCGCGUGUAGGCUGCUCAGAAAGUCGGAUGUGAAAGCCCUGGGCUUAACCUAGGAAGUGCAUUCGAAACUUCUGAGCUUGAGUUCUGGAGAGGAAGGCGGAAUUCUCGGUGUAGAGGUGAAAUUCGUAGAUAUCGAGAGGAACAUCAGUGGCGAAGGCGGCCUUCUGGUCCAGUACUGACACUCAAGUGCGAAAGCGUGGGGAGCGAUCCGG
rnacentral:rRNA from 1 species